rnacentral:rRNA from 1 species
GUGACGAGCGGCGGACGGGUGAGUAAUGUCUGGGAAACUGCCUGAUGGAGGGGGAUAACUACUGGAAACGGUAGCUAAUACCGCACAACGUCUACGGACCAGAGUGGGGGACCUUCGGGCCUCACGCCAUCAGAUGUGCCCAAAUGGGAUUAGCUAGUAGGUGGGGUAAUGGCUCACCUAGGCGACGAUCCCUAGCUGGUCUGAGAGGAUGACCAGCCACACUGGAACUGAGACACGGUCCAGACUCCUACGGGAGGCAGCAGUGGGGAAUAUUGCACAAUGGGCGCAAGCCUGAUGCACCCAUGCCGCGUGUGUGAAGAAGGCCUUCGGGUUGUAAAGCACUUUCAGCGAGGAGGAAGGGUAAUGUCUUAAUACGGCAUUACAUUGACGUUACUCGCAGAAGAAGCACCGGCUAACUCCGUGCCAGCAGCCGCGGUAAUACGGAGGGUGCAAGCGUUAAUCGGAAUUACUGGGCGUAAAGCGCACGCAGGCGGUUUGUUAAGUCAGAUGUGAAAUCCCCGCGCUUAACGUGGGAACUGCAUUUGAAACUGGCAAGCUAGAGUCUCGUAGAGGGGGGUAGAAUUCCAGGUGUAGCGGUGAAAUGCGUAGAGAUCUGGAGGAAUACCGGUGGCGAAGGCGGCCCCCUGGACGAAGACUGACGCUCAAGUGCGAGAGCGUGCGGAGCAAACAGGAUUAGAUACCCUGGUAGUCCACGCUGUAGACGAUGUCGAUUUUGGAGGUUGUGCCCUUGAGGCGUGGCUUCCGGAGCUA